rnacentral:rRNA from 1 species
CCUACGGGUGGCUGCAGUGGGGGAUAUUGCACAAUGGAGGAAACUCUGAUGCAGCGACGCCGCGUGAGGGAAGACGGUCUUCGGAUUGUAAACCUCUGUCUUUGGGGAAGAAAAUGACGGUACCCAAAGAGGAAGCUCCGGCUAACUACGUGCCAGCAGCCGCGGUAAUACGUAGGGAGCGAGCGUUGUCCGGAAUUACUGGGUGUAAAGGGAGCGUAGGCGGGCGAGAAAGUUGAAUGUUAAAUCUACCGGCUUAACUGGUAGCUGCGUUCAAAACUUCUUGUCUUGAGUGAAGUAGAGGCAGGCGGAAUUCCUAGUGUAGCGGUGAAAUGCGUAGAUAUCAGGAGGAAUACCGUUAGCGAAGGCGGCAAUCUGGCUGGAAACUGACGCUGAGGUGCGAAAGCGUGGGUAGCAAACAGGAUUAGAUACCCGAGUAGUC